UUCUAGCUGACGAGUCCCGAAUAGGACGAAGCGCGCAUCCUGGAU
rnacentral:hammerhead_ribozyme from 1 species